rnacentral:rRNA from 1 species
GAUGAACGCUAGCUACAGGCUUAACACAUGCAAGUCGAGGGGAAACGACAUCGAAAGCUUGCUUUUGGUGGGCGUCGACCGGCGCACGGGUGAGUAACGCGUAUCCAACCUGCCCACCACUUGGGGAUAACCUUGCGAAAGUAAGACUAAUACCCAAUGAUAUCCCACGAAGGCAUCCGAAUGGGAUUAAAGAUUUAUCGGUGAUGGAUGGGGAUGCGUCUGAUUAGCUUGUUGGCGGGGUAACGGCCCACCAAGGCAACGAUCAGUAGGGGUUCUGAGAGGAAGGUCCCCCCACAUUGGAACUGAGACACGGUCCAAACUCCUACGGGAGGCAGCAGUGAGGAAUAUUGGUCAAUGGGCGAGAGCCUGAACCAGCCAAGUAGCGUGCAGGAUGACGGCCCUAUGGGUUGUAAACUGCUUUUAUAAGGGAAUAAAGUGAGUCUCGUGAGACUUUUUGCAUGUACCUUAUGAAUAAGGACCGGCUAAUUCCGUG